rnacentral:sRNA from 1 species
GAAGUGGGCUGGGAGAGAGCUCUGUUUCCUUUGAGAUGAGUUAUUAAUUCUUAGGAGCCAGCCAGUUCUUCCUUAAUGCAGUGGCAGUUACCUAAUGGUGUCCUCAGUUGUGGGCUUCUAUAGCUCUCCACUCUUCCGGAGCCUGCGGCCCAGAUGGCACGACACCGCCAUGACGCAGAUAAUUGGGAAUUGUGUCUGUCUCCUGGUCCUAAGUUCAGCACUUCCUGUCUUCUCUCGAACCCUGGGGCUCACUCGCUUUGACCUGCUGGGUGACUUUGGACGCUUCAACUGGCUGGGCAAUUUCUACAUUGUGUUCCUCUACAAUGCAGCCUUUGCAGGCCUUACCACACUCUGUCUGGUGAAGACCUUCACUGCAGCUGUGCGGGCAGAGCUGAUCCGGGCCUUCGGGCUGGACAGACUGCCGCUGCCCGUCUCCGGUUUCCCCCGGGCAUCUAGGAAGACCCAGCACCAGU